UAACGUCUUGGAAGAUAUGUCGCCUGAAAAAUUUAACUCCUGUCGAAUGAAGAGGGAGCGAAAUGAAAUGCGACGUGUGUCAGUAAACUUUGUAAUGGACGUGUACAGCUUUUUGAUGCCCGGUGGUGACCAGCCUUCCAUGUGGCUGAACAGAUGCCAGUGUUCCUGAAUUCUGAAACACAACUGGAUGUUGUUUUCUUCUGCUUUUAAGAUUCACAAUUCAAAAUGAUGUGCAGUUCAUGUUAGAUUUGCUAUUUCUACAGUUACAGUGAAGUAGAAGAGUCUGGUCGUGAUAUGGGGCAGCAGUUAAAGAAGAAGGAUGGAGAGAUGUGUUCCAUGUUGAAAUAGCGACUGCCCCUCACUUCUAGAAUCCUCCAUCUCAAUCCUUGCUAUGAUCUGCUGUGCCCUUGCCAAGUGAUCACGAGUUUAUUGCAAUGGUGCCCCCCCACUCCCCAAAUACACCCCCCCCCCCGUAUCUCCACUGUCUGUUACAUCAACUCAGACUGCCUGUGAUACCGGAGAGAAACAAGGUUCACAAGACGUCCUGAAAUGGAAUUGUGAUUGGACUGAGACGGUCACAAUUAUGUAUGCUGGGAUGUGCAAAGG